rnacentral:tRNA from 3 species
GGUUGUUUGGCCGAGCGGUCUAAGGCGCCUGAUUCAAGUACUCAGGUAUCGUAAGAUGCAAGAGUUCGAAUCUCUUAGCAACCA